GGAGCACCAGACACCAAUUACAAUUUGAGAACUAAAUGCCAUAAUUAACAAGACAUAUACUUUAAUCUAAAGCAACUCAAAUAUGUGGCUGGAUAAAGAAAAAAAGAACACUAGCCUCUUCUAAUUUAGAAAUGCAUGUUCCAGAACCAGACAAGUGAAAAGAAAGGGAGAAGGAACUGUUAAAAGUGGAGCUUUGUGAAGAGACUGUUGACCACUUGUGUUGGUUUUGAGGAUAUCAGCAUAUGCUUCUUUCCUGACACAACCUUAAGCAUUCAGAAAUCCCAAAGGUUAGUAAAUAUUUAUCAAGAGAUGCUUGAAAAAUAUUUUUCUCACAACUGUUUGCUGGCUCCGCUGUGCAGUUUUCUUCUCUGCUAAUAUUGUGGUACAGAUGCACAAGGAGGUGAACAAUUGUUAACGAACUUCAAGAGCAACGCAGCUGUGCCUAAUUAUAUUAAGUCAU
rnacentral:lncRNA from 1 species